AGGACGAACGCUGGCGGCGUGCUUAACACAUGCAAGUCGAGCGGAAAGGCCCUUCGGGGUACUCGAGCGGCGAACGGGUGAGUAACACGUGAGUAACCUGCCCUUGGCUCUGGGAUAGCUCCGGGAAACCGGAAUUAAUACCGGAUAUGACUUCGGCCGACAUCGGCUGCGGUGGAAAGAUUUAUCGGCCAGGGAUGGGCUCGCGGCCUAUCAGCUAGUUGGUGGGGUAACGGCCUACCAAGGCGACGACGGGUAGCCGGCCUGAGAGGGCGACCGGCCACACUGGGACUGAGACACGGCCCAGACUCCUACGGGAGGCAGCAGUGGGAAUAUUGCGCAAUGGGCGAAAGCCUGACGCAGCGACGCCGCGUGGGGGAUGAAGGCCUUCGGGUUCGUAAACCCUUUCGGCAGGGACGAAGCGAAAGUGACGGUACCUGCAGAAGAAGCGCCGGCUAACACGUGCCAGCAGCCGC
rnacentral:rRNA from 1 species